UACAGAGGGGGCAAGCGUUGUUCGGAAUUACUGGGCGUAAAGGGCUCGUAGGCGGCCUUCUAAGUCGAACGUGAAAUCCCUGGGCUCAACCCAGGAACUGCGUCCGAGACUGAAAGGCUUGAAUCCGGGAGAGGGAUGUGGAAUUCCAGGUGUAGCGGUGAAAUGCGUAGAUAUCUGGAGGAACACCGGUGGCGAAGGCGACAUCCUGGACCGGCAUUGACGCUGAGGCGCGAAAGCCAGGGGAGCAAACGGG
rnacentral:rRNA from 1 species